rnacentral:SRP_RNA from 1 species
UGCCAGGUCCUGAAUGAUAAACAAGAACCCAACCCCACCAGGUCCGGAAGGAAGCAGUGGUAAGUUUAAAAUUUAUGCAUUCAGUCAACCUGGCUUUU